GAUUUUUCUGUCAUUUGAUGUAAACAAACUUUUUAUAUAAGAAACAAAAUGUUUUAUUACAAUCUUAAUAAAAAAACAGGAAGCGCAAAGCAGAUGUAGCUAGCGCGUACCAUCCUUCGACCACAUCUUCACCUUGGUCUAGGUGGGAUAGUGGUCAAGCGCUGGUUUUUUUGCAUUUUAAAAAAUAAAAAAAGAUGUAUCUGUCCAUUUUUACUGUUGAAACUUCGAGAUGUUGAAAUAUGGGAAAUAGUUUUAAGUUAUAUUACUAUACAUGUUAUUUUCAAAAACUUGCUAAAUUAAAACAACAGAUUUAAGAACUUCGAGAAAGAAGACAAAAAUAAGGCUGUGUUGAUGCAGAAAGAAGAUAUGUUUUUUAACAAUUAAGAGGAUAUAUAUUUUUUUAUAUUUGAUGUAAUAUUGUUAAAGUUCAAAAUACUUACUGUCAUUCUAUAUGAACUAAAAUCUACUUAUAUUCU